CUGCGAUAAGCGCCGGUAAGGUGAUAUGAACCGUUAUAACCGGCGAUACCCGAAUGGGGAAACCCAGUGUGAUUCGUCACACUAUCAUUAACUGAAUCCAUAGGUUAAUGAGGCGAACCGGGGGAACUGAAACAUCUAAGUACCCCGAGGAAAAGAAAUCAACCGAGAUUCCCCCAGUAGCGGCGAGCGAACGGGGAGGAGCCCAGAGCCUGAAUCAGCAUGUGUGUUAGUGGAAGCGUCUGGAAAGGCGCGCGAUACAGGGUGACAGCCCCGUACACAAAAGCGCAUGUGCUGUGAGCUCGAUGAGUAGGGCGGGACACGUGGUAUCCUGUCUGAAUAUGGGGGGACCAUCCUCCAAGGCUAAAUACUCCUGACUGACCGAUAGUGAACCAGUACCGUGAGGGAAAGGCGAAAAGAACCCCGGCGAGGGGAGUGAAAAAGAACCUGAAACCGUGUACGUACAAGCAGUGGGAGCACCCUUUGGGUGUGACUGCGUACC
rnacentral:rRNA from 1 species